UACAGAGGCCUCGAGCGUUAGGCGGAAUCACUGGGCUUAAAGCGUGUGUAGGCGGACCCCUAAGUACCUUGUGAAAUCCCACGGCUCACCCGUGGAACGGCUGGGUAUACUGGUUGUCUUGGCCAGCUAGGGGCGAGCGGAACAGACGGUGGAGCGGUGAAAUGCGUAGAUAUCGUCUGGAACGCCGAAGGUGAAAACAGCUCGCUGGGGCUGCGCUGACGCUGAGACACGAAAGCCAGGGGAGCGAACGGG
rnacentral:rRNA from 1 species